rnacentral:misc_RNA from 1 species
GAUGAAGAACGCAGCGAAAUGCGAUACGUAAUGUGAAUUGCAGAAUUCAGUGAAUCAUCGAGUCUUUGAACGCACAUUGCGCCCGCCAGCAUUCUGGCGGGCAUGCCUGUUCGAGCGUCAUUUCAACCCUCGCAGCCCAUCUGGGCAGCGGUGUUGGGGACCGGCACCACCGGCGAAGCCCUUAGGGGCCCAGCCGGCGCCGCCCCCGAAAUACAGUGGCGGUCUCGCUGCAGCCUCCCUUGCGUAGUAGCACACCUCGCACCGGAGCGCAGCGCGGCCACGCCGUAAAACCCCCGACUUUCUGAGUUUGACCUCGAAUCAGGUAGGAAUACCCGCUGAACUUAAGCAUAUCAAUAAGCGGAGGA